AGUGAACGCUGGCGGUAGGCCUAACACAUGCAAGUCGAACGGCAGCACAGUAAGAGCUUGCUCUUACGGGUGGCGAGUGGCGGACGGGUGAGGAAUACAUCGGAAUCUACUUUUUCGUGGGGGAUAACGUAGGGAAACUUGCGCUAAUACCGCAUACGACCUACGGGUGAAAGCAGGGGAUCUUCGGACCUUGCGCGAUUGAAUGAGCCGAUGUCGGAUUAGCUAGUUGGCGGGGUAAAGGCCCACCAAGGCGACGAUCCGUAGCUGGUCUGAGAGGAUGAUCAGCCACACUGGAACUGAGACACGGUCCAGACUCCUACGGGAGGCAGCAGUGGGGAAUAUUGGACAAUGGGCGCAAGCCUGAUCCAGCCAUACCGCGUGGUGAAGAAGGCCUUCGGGUUGUAAAGCCCUUUUGUUGGGAAAGAAAAGCAGCAGGUUAAUACCCCGCUGUUCUGACGGUACCCAAAGAAUAAGCACCGGCUAACUUCGUG
rnacentral:rRNA from 1 species